CUGAACGGUACUUUUGGUGCUGCACCGAAAGACGAGUGGCGAACGGGUGCGUAACGCGUAUGCAAUCUACCUUUUACUAGGGUAUAGCCCGGAGAAAUUUGGAUUAAUCCCCUACAAUAUCAUGAAUUCGCAUGAUUUUAUGAUUAAAGCUUCGGCGGUAAAAGAUGAGCAUGCGUCCUAUUAGUUAGUAGGUGAGGUAACGGCUCACCUAGACUACGAUAGGUAGGGGCCCUGAGAGGGGGAUCCCCCACACUGGUACUGAGACACGGACCAGACUCCUACGGGAGGCAGCAGUAAGGAAUAUUGGACAAUGGACGAAAGUCUGAUCCAGCCAUGCCGCGUGCAGGAUGACAGCCCUACGGGUUGUAAACUUCUUUUAUACAGGAAGAAACCUUUCCACGUGUGGAAAGCUGACGGUACUGUAAGAAUAAGGAUCGGCUAACUCCGUGCCAGCAGCCGCGGUAAUACGGAGGAUCCAAGCGUUAUCCGGAAUCAUUGGGUUUAAAGGGUCCGUAGGCGGUUCUUUAAGUCAGAGGUGAAAUCCUGCAGCUCAACUGUAGAAUUGCCUUUGAUACUGAAAGACUUGAGUUAUUGUGAAGUGGUUAGAACGUGUGGUGUAGCGGUGAAAUGCAUAGAUAUCACACAGAAUACCAAUUGCGAAGGCAGAUCCUAAACAUAUACUGACGCUCACGCACGAAAGCGUGGGUAGCGAACACGAUCAGAUACCCGGUUAGUCCACGCGUAACGAUGGAUCUAGCUGUUGUCUAUCCGGGAAUGUGCGGCAACGAAGUGAUAUUUCAC
rnacentral:rRNA from 1 species